rnacentral:rRNA from 1 species
GUCCACGCCCUAAACUAUGUCAACUAGUUGUCGGGCCUUACUAGGCUUGGUAACGUAGCUAACGCGUGAAGUUGACCGCCUGGGGAGUACGGUCGCAAGAUUAAAACUCAAAGGAAUUGACGGGGACCCGCACAAGCGGUGGAUUAUGUGGAUUAAUUCGAUGCAACGCGAAAACCUUACCUACCCUUGACAUGUCAGAAAGUUUUCAGAGAUGAAUUCGUGCUCGAAAGAGAAUCUGAACACAGGUGCUGCAUGGCUGUCGU